rnacentral:lncRNA from 1 species
UCUUCUAUUUUCCCUCUCCAAAUAAUUUUUAUGCUAAACAUGUGAUAAAAGAUUUCUAUAUCGACCUUUUUUUUCUCGUGACCGUCAUCCAUCCUGUGGUUUGUUUUGGGUAGCCUCGAAAUGAAAACAUGACAGCUGGAAAAUACAUGUAAAAAAUCAUAGCCUUUAUUGUAAAUCGUGAGAUCUUAUUUGAAUUACAGACCAAUGCUUCAAAGUGGUGUUGUCUAUAGCCAUUUUCUUCAAAACGAUACUGUAUUAAAUAUUCUGAUUAGCAAAUUGUUUUAAUAUGCGGUACAUGUCUUUGAGUAAAUUCCGUACAUUUUUUUCUUCUUACUUUUUUCAUUUUAAUUAAUAUCAUGGCGUAAUUUCUUUUUAUACAAUAUGUAAAUAAAAAAAUUACAAAGG